rnacentral:lncRNA from 10 species
AUAAGAGUGAGUAUAAAAGUAAAGAAUAGGACUUCAUCAGGGUGAAAGUAUUGGAGUGUACUUUGUCAAUGAAGAUCUUCUAUCCACUUAAACAGAGACUUAAGGGUGGCAGUUUGAGGUAAAACCAGGCACCACUGAAUACCAAGAGCCUGAGAAACUGCUUGGGUGAUUGGACUAGUAAAGGCCGGUCUGUUAUCGGACUGUAUAGAGGUGGGAAGGCCAAACCGAGGAAUUAUGUCUGACAGAAGGGAAGAAAUGACCAUGGUGGCCUCCUCAGACCCUGUGGGAAAGGCCUCUACCCAUCCAGUGAAAGUGUCUACCCAGACCAAGACGCAUUUUAGUUUCCUGACUCAAGGCGUAUGAGUAAAGUCAAUUUGCCAGUCCUGGUUGGGGGCAAAUCCCUGAGAUUGAUGUGUAGGGAAAGGAGGGGGCCUGAACAAUCCCUGAGGAGUAGUAGAAUAGCAGAUGGAACACUGAGAAGUGAUUUCCUUAAGGAUAGAUUUCCAUGGUGGAAAGGAAAUGAGAAGUUCUAAGAGUCAGGCUAGUGGCUUGUAACCUACAUGGGAGAAGCUAUGAAAUGACGACAGAAUAG